ACUCCUUUCAUCUGCAGCCAACAUACAGAGAGGGAGAAACGCGGAGAGAGAGAGAGAUGCGGAGAGGAGAGAGAGAGAAUCGCGGAGGAAGAGAGAGAGAGAAUCCCAGAUGUGAGACGCCCACCGGCCACCGGCAGACCGCCACCACCCCUCAGCCCUCACUGUCUCUCUCGCGCUCUUUCUCUCUCACCGCCAGACCGCAACCGCCCCUCACUGUCUCUCUCUCACCGCCAGACCGCAACCACCCCUCACGGAGUUCUGACAUCUGAGAAUCUGAGUUAUAUGUUCCUCUGUUCUCUAAAGGGUGAAGUCCGAAUCUCUCAUUCUUCGACUUCUAGAGAUUAGAGAACUAUCUUCUCUGUUUUCGCCGGACAACGGUGACCCCUUUGACGCAAAAACAGACGACAGAUCCGUAGAUCUGGAUUGACGAAACCCCAGUUGUGUGUGGUAAGCAAUGGAUAGAUCCAAUCGCCGUCGACUUCGGUGUUGGCUGGUGCAGUCUGCUCAACAGCUCGCCGUUGGUUGCCUGGCCGGAGUUGCUCCCUCGCCAACUGAUCCGAGCCUCCGACACGACGCCGUGCAUAUCUAUCACCCCUAAAUUAUACUUUUUUCCCCAAAAAUCAUGCUGCACGGAGCUUUUGAAGCAGUACAGAACCUACAGCCAACACAAUUGAUGCAACUGAAAAAAGUCCUCAGCGAAUACUGCUCAACCUGAAAGUUUUGAGGAGAAAACAAUGAUUUCAACUUACAGUUUCAGAGGCAGCAUAGAGCUUGGAGCUAUCAGUAGUGAUGAUACUGGAAAAAGGUUGUUGGUAUAUAGUCGUGUGUUUGAAUGUCUUGAAAAUGUAAUUAAGCAGCCCAUAGCUGGAUUCAGGAUUCAAUUAUUUGAACGACUGAGCAGACAUGAAUCUUAUUUCCUGGACAUUGAAAAACUAAAAAGGUGUCUUGAUAAACGUGAGGUGCCAUAAUGUGUCAUAAGAAUCAAAUUAUUCAAAUAAAGAAAUAAUUUUUUUUUGGCACAA